rnacentral:lncRNA from 1 species
UAAUAUCUAAACCCCUUACGUUGCCCUAGUUUUAGGUCCCAAAAAUUUCAUUUCACACUUCUCUUUCCAGCUGCAAUCAGCUUCCCCUUCCCAGUUUCCUUUUUGCCUUCUUCCUCUCCUUUGUUUUUUUCUCGAAACCACAGUCUCUGUGAAUCAAUGGCAUAUUUCCAUUGCUUGUUUAUUCAUUGUAGGAGCAUGUCUCAAUCAAGCAGCAUAGCAGGGACAUUUGAGGGUAGGUUGAAGCACUAGAAUUAUCGUCGUCAGUGUGAGAAUCUCUAAAUUUUUGAGAAAUUCCAAAUCGACCAUACUACUACUGUAGAGAAAGUAGUUAUGGAAGCUUUAGGAGAUUGUGCAAAAGUGUUCCUUCCUUCAUUGCCAGAUCAAUUGGAGAUAGCAUAAUUUCGAAUAUGAGGCAAAUAGGUGGGCAAAGGUUGGUGGCUGAGCUAAACGAAGAAGUUAUGAAGUUGAUAGAAGACAUCAGAUUAGCUAAAAUGAAGUUAGAAAGGAUUGAAAUCCAUAUGGGUUAUUGAAUUCUAUUUUGUUAAUAUUAAUUUUUUUAUUUGUUUUUAUUGGGAUGAAAAUGAUGUGAACCUGUUUUGCUGAAUUACUGAAACUGAUGUUGGUGUUGUUUAGUCAAUUUGCCUCUGUAAAUGUCAUUAUGUGUAUUUUGGUUGGUGAAUGAAUGGAAUGAUUUCUAGACUUUACAUAUGUUAUAUGUGUUUUUGAGAUUGAGAAAUGACAAGUGAGGAAUCAAAUAGUUGUUAAAUAUAAAUGUAAAGGGCUUAAUAGUAUGUAUAUUUGACUAUCUGGACAUAGCUUUACUCCAAAAUAACAUUCACAAACUUCCUAAGAACAACCAUUUAACCUUCUGUUAACUCAAAAUAAACAUAGUAGCAAUCAUGUUUCUAAAACAAAACAUCACAAAAUAUACUCCAUAAUAAACUUCAGUUGAACUUCACAACUAAUCUGCACAUCCUAAUAAAUAAACUUGACUUCCAUAACAACUAAAAUUGACAUCAAUGGACAUUUGUUGGCUUGCUGGUCGAGAGGGAUUGACAUGUGCCUCUGAUACUGUUGUUAUUUGCAUAGGACCUUUCCUUCCAAUGUUGGCCCUGAAAGUAAUUAUGCAAAAAUAUUAUUACGGCUUAUUCAAUUAAAAAAUAAACAAGCAAAAAUAUAUUGCAAAAAGAAUAUAGAACUUACUCAAACUAGCGGACCCUGAUAAGUUCUUGUAUUAUGUCUAAAUUGCUUACACCUAGCACAUAUUACAAUGAUAUUUCUCUCUCUUUGUUGCAGGAUCUCGCUCUCCUUCUUCCCUUCUCCAUGUGCUCCUAGAUUGGCUAAGUUGUCUUUUUAAUGGUAGAAGUUCAAUUAUUAGGAAUUUUUCAUUUGGCUCUAAAUUACUUUUUGGAAUUGGGUGAAUAGCAUCAUCAUAUACUUUGAAAUAUGUUUACUUAGUAAAGUAUUCACUGCAGUUGUUUUCAAUAUUCUGCAUAUUUACAAAGAAGACCCGUGAUAUCCCACCAUCCACAUGAGUAACUUGCGAAUUUGCAAUUGCCUUCUUCAAUCUUGAACUCAUUAUUUUUGCUAGGCAAUAACUUUACAUAUUUUCUUUGACUUGAGUGCAACUCUAAGGACAUUAACCUCUCCAAAUAUUUGACCUAUUCUGAAACUAGUUUCCUCUCCAACAUCUUAAGCAUAUGGAUCAACAUACAUGCUAGCAAAGUGAUAUUGAUCACUUUCAGCCUUGGGAAUCUCAAUCAUAUGCACAUCUUCUUCUUAUGUCAAACAUAUUGUCAUCUGACUCAACAUCAAACUCAUUAUUCUCCUUCGUAUUCAAAACUAUGGCUUAAGUUACCAACUAAUGUAUCCAUCCAAUAAUCAUUAUCAGAGUUAUUAGUAAGUGUAACAGCCUCUUCGUAUUUUCUACUUCACCCUAGCUCCUCUCAUUCCCCCUUUAUAAAUAUUUGGACUACCCCUAUUCGCCCUUCUGUAGACCUUUUCACUCCUAAUACAGCUUCUUCCAACAGACUCAAAACCUCUCGCAGCAGACUCUGAUUUAAUCCUGGCAGACUCAGAGACAUUUCCACUAACUUGAAAUCCGAUCCCAAUAGCCUUACCACGAUUCCGUCCUAGUAGCCUCACAACCCAUACAACAAUAUUAAACAAGUAGAUUUCGAUAGCAAGGGACACAAAGUACGAACUAAUAUAAAAUAGAGCAACAAAAACUCUUAAGCAUAAAAUAACUCCACCUUGUCCUACAAAAUAGGAACCCUAACCUUCCAAUAGAGUAAGAAAGUAGAUUGUCGAUAAUGAGAUGGGCCACAAUGUCGAGGAAACGAGUGAAAUGGGGAGAGUUAAAUCAAUUUUCUUGGGUUUAGGGAUUUUAAAAUUCCUCUUUAGUCACCUAACUUUUAAAUCCGCGCAAUUUCAACUUUUCCGCACAAUUAGUACCUGUUAGUUUUUGAAGGAUCAAUUAGUUCUAUUUACUAAAAGUGAAGUAUAUUUUAAUAGUCUCUAAAAGUUAUAAAGACCAAUUAAUGAUUAUUUCCCUAAAUCUAAGGUUUCCUAAACCGGGGGACCUUAAGAGUAAAUUUCCCUAAAAAACAAUUGAACCCUAUAGGCUUGUUUAGCUAUAGUUACUUCUUACUUGUCAUGUGAGCAUAACUUUUUUUUUGGGCAGAUUUUAUGUUUUUUAAGUUUAAAGUCUAAUAAUUAGGAUAAUCCUAAUUAUAGUGUAUGAUAAGUCUGCUAUAUUAGAACUAAAUAAAACAUAAUCCAUAAAAAUUAGUGGAAUCCGAACUGCAUGGUUCUACAAGUACAAAUAAUGGGAGAUGAAAAUAAACUAAAACUUGCAAAAAAUAUAUUCAAGCAAAUCUAAGAAACAGGUGCUCAAUCACGCACAUAAGCAAACUUGAAACUAGUAAACCAUAAAUUUAACAACCUUCAAAACAACUCCUGAAAGAAUCUCAAAAAAAGAAAAAAAGACAAUUCUUAUGCUACUACUAAAAAAAAAUCAGUCUGAUUGUCAGAUCAAAACACAUCACGAUUUCAAACACGCUCACACAACCUAGGAAACAAGGUUGUCAUUCAAUGACAGAGAUGCUAGCUGAUCAGCUGCGCCACUAGCCUGUUGCUGCUGCACACUCCUCAGAACCUCCAUUGCCUCAGCAACCUUUGCUUUUAGAGCUUCUGGCGACUCCAGCAAGUGCAAAACCUCAGUCUGGUCCAUCUCUAGAAGCAUUCCUGUCACCUUAGCAGCUGCAUCAGGCUCCAGCUGUUCUACCAGAGGGUAGAGAUUCUCACCCAGCAUCUACAUUUAUUCACCAAGCAAACACAAUAAAAUAUAUAUACUGGUUCAGGAAAAAAAAAAAAAUCUACCAAGUUUAAAUAAACAGUUAUUGCAGAGACUAGUGCAUACCGUCCUCUGCUGUUCUGGACUAGCAUUUGCAAGUGCACUAGCCAAAGCACCAAUUGGAAUUGGCUGAGACAAAGCUGUAUCACGCAUUGGCAUACCACCCAUGUCGUAUGGAACAGAAAGCAUCCCUCCAGCAACACCAGUCAUUGGAACAUCAGGCAAGGCCCGCCCAGGAGGGUAGCGAUAGACACGUCCCCUUGGAAGCAUCUGUCAAUAAAGAAAACAAUUAAGACAAAGGAUAUCACCAAUGUCAAUACAAGGAGAAAGACCACUGCCAACCUGCUGCUGCAUUAGUGGCAUUGGCUGCUGAGAUUGCUGAGCAGCUCCAGCCCGUCGACCACCAGGACGCUGUCCCUGCUGCCCCUGCUGAACCAUAGGCACAAAGAAAUUUGGCAUAGGAGCUCCACCAGGCCUCAUACCAGGUACAAGCUGUUGCUGAUAUCCAAAUCCAGGCUGAUAACAACAUAUCAUAAUGAAAAGCACCACAUUAAUCAGAUCAUUGUACCUAAACAGCACAAAAAGAAACAAUGAACUUGCGUAAUAAGAAAAAAAGCAACAUCAAGAGCCACCUGAGGAGGUAUUAUAGCAGGUGGGGCUUGUCCAUAGAAUAUCUGCUGUCCCAGUCCUGGACCACCAGGGGGGUACAUUGGCAUUCGAGGAGCAACUGAUGGUGCCAUUGCAACUGGCCUCAUUUGAGAAAAUUGUGCCUGAAAAACAAAUGCAAACCCAUUGCGAUAUGAGGAAAAGGAUGAUAUGUCACUUUUAGAGGAUAUACACAACCACAAGAAAUGGAAAAAUAAGAGGGCAAAUGUAUCACUGAAACAGUGAUUUAGACAAAAGAAGAUAUUAAUAUUAAUCACAUGUUACAUCUAAACUAUUCCAGGAAACAUCAUUAGGAAAGGGGCAUUAAUGCAGGUAUGUUUGCGUGUACAUGAAAGGAAGCUAUAUUUAAACACAACCAUCUCCACCAGCUAUUGAUUAGAGGCUGAAAAUGUUUAGUAGAAAAAUCAUACCUGCAGCCUGGCUCUUCUAUCUUCUUUUCGUUGUGCAAGUGCCACAUAUAAAGGUUUGCUGACAACCAUUUUGCCAUUCAUCUCCAUGAGCUAUCAAAACAAUUGUGUCAUUAUAACAUGAGUGCACAAAAAGAGAAAAAAGAAAAGAAAAACCUCACUUACAGCUCUGGAUGCUUCAUCGGGAGUAGAGAAAGCAACAAACCCAGAACCUCUGCUUAUUCCAUUAGGAUCACGCAUAACCUGUGUCGCACAAAAAUGUGUUUCACCUUUGAUGAGCUAACAACCAACCAAUCAUAAUUGUGGCUUGCUACUCAAAAAGCAAAAUGCUACUUUACCUUGCAUGAUGUGAUUAAACCAAAUGGAGAGAAGAGCUCCUUAAGCUUAUCAUCACUUAUGCUAUCAUCUAGGUUUUUAAUGUACAAAUUGGCCCCUUGAAACUUAUCAGCUGCCUCCUUCAUACUCUGCUCAAAUCGAAGUUUUAAUUCAGUUUCCCUUUCAGAUUUCUUUUGGGCUUUCCCAACAUACCACUCCUUAUCCUCAAAUUUCUUUCCAUUAAGGGCCUCAACAGCUCUAGCAGCGUCAUCUGCAUUCUCAAAGUUGACAAAUCCAAAGCACUUUGUUUUUCCAUCUCCAUCUCUCAUCACCACAGCACUAGUGAUUGUUCCAAAUUCACCAAAAGUUUUAUUCAAAUCUUCAUCAGUGACUGUUUCUGAGAGGUUCUUUACGAAGACAUUGUUAAAUCUCAUCUUGUCAGUGGCACUCUCUCUUUCCUGUUUGCGAAGAAAAGGUCCAACAUACACUUGCUUAUCAUUCAAUAGCAUCCCAUUUAACUUCUCUAUAGCCUUUUGGGCAGAUUCCUCAUUGUCAAACUGUACAAAGCCAUAGCCCUUUGACUGGCCAGAGAAAUCUGUAGCCACCUUGCAAGAUAGGAUGUUACCAAAUGCCGAGAAAGUAUCAUGCAAUGCUUUGUGGUCAAUUCCCUUGUCCAGAUUCUGUUAAUAUAUAUACAUUUAGUCAGAGUGCACAAAAGAGGAUUCAGAACUCAAAAUUAUAUAAAAAUACACAGCAUCAACCGAAUCUCCUAUCAGCAGACAUGAAUACCUUGAUAAAUAUGUUGCCAGCGCCACUUUUGCGAAUACUAGGGUCACGAUGAGAAUACAUAAUUCUGAUGGGGCUUCCAUUGAGAGGGGUGAAAUUCAGCAUAUCCAAUGCCCUAGCAGCUGUUAAAAUUAUAGAAAGAGGGAGAGAGAAUUUAGGAGCUUUACUCAGAUUAAAAAAAAAAAAGAAAGAAAUAAAUUAGGAGCUUUACUGCAGAUGUAAGGAACAAGAAAGCAUGUAACAUUUGCCACGUGCAGAUACAUUGAUAGCAUAAAUAUAAAUUGGUCAUUCUCUAUUAGAUUCUACCAGAAUUCCUAACGAUGUAAGAUCACCUCCAAUGUAAAGCUCCCAAAUUCACAAGUUCUUCCAAAGCACAAUAAACUUUGGAGAAAUAUAAUUAUGAAAUAUAAAUUAUAUUGUCAUUAUUUGUCACAGAAUCAUAAUAUAAUGACAUUUGCUGCAAUCAAAAGUUCUAGUCUUUUUAAUGCGGAAAGCACAACAAUAAAGUACUUUUUAUCCUGUUUAUGCUCCAUUGACCAAAAUUAUUUCAUGAACUUACAGCUUUCAUCCCACAAAAAUAAAAUGAGGAAUUACAAUCACACAGUGAGAUAACAUUCAGACCUACAAGCCACAACUGAAUAAAAGUGAAAAGCUUGUAACUUAAUGAUGUAUUUGUUGGUCGGAGAGAAGGGGUUGGGGGGAGGGGGAAGUGCUAGCAACCAACAUGUGACUCCAAUGCCAUGUAUGAGCAUGGUACUCUAGGACUCAAGAAAGAGCAUUGCAAAGUCCUUGUACCCACUCAAAUUAGAUGUGAGACUCCACAGUACCUUAAGGGAAACAAGGCGCAUCUCUACCAUAGUAUCACCAUUGGCAAUUGCUUUUGGUAGAAAUGGUAGCACAUGAUUCUAAGAGUUCCCCAGUUAAAAGCCAUCACAAGUUGAAAUAGCGCAAGGAUGAGUGUCUAAAGGCACUCUCCCCCUACAGUCAUUUGCAACCUCUGAUACUCCGACUCUUUAUUUUGCCAGGCUGUACCCGUGUCGACAUGACACUUCACGGGAUACAAUAUAGAAUAUGUGUCCAUAUAUUCAAGCACUUGAAUACUUUUGUGACAUGUUCAUGCAUAGUUGAUAGAGCAUUCUUUUCUGCUAUGAUGAUCUACUGUUUAUAUCUGUAUAUCGUUUAUUCCUAUGAUGUGGAUUGGUGGAUUUCUCAUAGUUGGUGCUGAAAAUCAUGUAUUUAGAUAAAAAUAGUUAUAUGGUUGUAUUUUGCACAAUUUAUUUAAUUGUAUUUGAUCAUCUAUUUAGAUUGUAAUUAUUACUAUAUAACUUUAUAAUUUUUUUUUAUUCUAGUUUAUUUUAUAUAACGUAAUGUAUCCAUGCACCUAUUUCUAAACUUAGAUCCAUAUUCCCAUAUUUUCUAUUCAGAAAGUUAACAAGUCAACAUAAGAUAUGUAACCAUUUCUAAUACUUGUAUCCAUGUCCAAGUAACAUAGUUUACAACACAUAAGAUGCAAGGUCUGAAAAUAGGAUGCACCUAUACUUGUUUUUGGUAAAAAUGGUGAUAUAUGAACCUAAAAGCUUCUAGGUUAAACAAGCUCAAGUUAGAGUAGCAUAACAAUGGGUGCACUUCUAGAAAGCUGUCAAUAUUCAGUCAAUAAGAUGGUGGCUAGUUCAAUUCAGCAUCCUAACUAGUAACUAAAACAUUAAUGUCAUGCAAAAUUAAAAUACAACUUUCACACCAACAAUAAAAACCAAGCCUUCGGUUUCUUAGAAGUCAUGCAACGAAGGUAGGAUUCUAAAACUUGGUUCAAUCUCUCAAUCUGACCAUCAGACUGUGGAUGAUAAGUGAAACUGAACUGGAGUUGAGUGCCAAGUUUCUUCAUCAAUUCUUUCCAGAAAAUACCAGUGAAAAUUUGAUCCCUAUUCGAGACAAUGCUAGCUGGAGCACCAUAUAAUUUAAACAAUGGUCAAAGUAAAUCUUAGCCAAGGAAGCUGCUGAAAAUGGAUGUUUCAAGGCAAUAAAAUGUCCAAACUUUGUGAAUUUGUCGUUAACUAUACAAAUUGUAUCAUAACCCAUGGACCAUGGCAAUUUUUUGAUAAAAUCCAUCAAUGUAUGUUACCAAGCCUGAGAUGCCACGGGUAAAGCUUGGAGCAGCCCAUGUGGAGCAUAGUUUUAAAUAACGGCCAUUACAUUAUGUAACGAAUUUGGGGAGCCUUACCCGUUACUCCGUUAUACAACGGCCCCCCUUGAUUUGCAGACGUAACGACUGUUACGUAACCGUAACGACCGUUACCAAUAAUUAAACUUCUUUUAAAUUCUUUUAUAUCCUUCUUCUUUUGCUCCCUAUUCUCAUUUUCAUUAGUUUAUACACUUUAGAGCAGCAUCAAAAGCUAUAUUUUUUAAGUUUUCUAUUCCCUUACCCUUUCAAAUUUCAAUCUUCCCUGCUUAUUUCUCAUAUAAACUUAGAUCCAUUAUAAACAAUUCUAUUUUCAAACUUAUUUCUUCUAAAAAAUUAGUUAAAUUUUAUCUAUUUUAGUUUUUAAUUGUUGUUUUUUCCAUUUUUAAACAAGUUUUAUGGAUUCAAGUGUUAGUUUUGAGUUAAAAUUGUACUUUGAGCUGUUAGUUUACUCGAUCUAUAAAGAUUAUGUUGAUUUUUCUUAUUUUGAACUAUACGAUGUUUAACUUUAAAUAAUCUAUAUUUUAUGUAUUCAUGUUUAUUAUGCAUUUGUGUACAUUGUUCUGAAUUAAGUCUAAUCAAUAUCAUUUCAUUUAUCAACUUUGCAAAUUUUUUUGAAAAAUUUACGUAGUGUCAGGCCAUUACCAUUAGAUUACAGCCGUUACAGACCUUUUUCCAUUACCAGCGACCAAGUUUUAAAACCAUGAUGUGGAGCACAAUGCUCUGUUUUGCAACAUUGAAAGAUAUCACAAAUCCAAAUCCCGUCGAGUGCCCGCCAUAGAAAUAUUUUUUGACUCUCAAGACAGUAGCGACUAUCUCAGAGUAACUCCCAAUUGGGCUAUUGUGGCAUUCCGUAAUGAUCUUUUGUCUAAGAGUUGAAGAAACCCCCUCAUAAAUUUGGCCUUUAUAUUUUAAGGCUCCGCCCUAUAAUGACCACAACUGCAACUCAAUUUGUAAAAACGAAGAGGUAAUUACUUGAGAGGCCAAAUCGUCUCUAUCAUAAGAAGUGAGAAUUUCUUGUAACCAAGCGGGAGAAGUGGAGGACAAAGUUGGUUAAUUGCAGCCCCUUCUCUUAGCUGUGAAAAGGCAUCCGCCACUUUAUUCUCCGCACCGUUUUUAUAUUGAAUUGAGUAGUCAAAGACCCAACAAUUUCACCACCCCUUUUUGCUAUAACAAAGUAUUCAAACAUUGUUAGAGCAAAUAUUUGAUGCUUUGGUGAUUGUUUUGAUAAUAAAAUGGCCUUAAUCCCAAUGAUUUAAACAAGAAAGCCAAUGGUUUUCCCUAUUGAAGUAACAGGCUGGCAUCACUCCAAUACAAAUGGAACAUCAAAUUAGGGUAAAGCUAAUAUCCGAGUUGUAGCUAACAAAGCCUUCAAUCUGUUAAAGGCAGAUUCAGCCUCAGGAUUCCAUUGCCAUUGAUCCUUCUUCAGUAAUUCUAUUAAUGGUUUGUUGAUAACCCCAAAAUCCCUAAUAAUGCGCCAAUAAUACCCAACCAACCCCAAAAUCCUCAUACUCCCUUAAUGUUCUUUGGUGUAGACCAAUUAACUAUAGCCUGAGUCUUCUCUGGGUUAGUAGAAACCCCUCCUUCAGCUAUCACAUAACCAAGAUACUUAAUGGACCUUCUGCCAAAUUCACACUUACUCCAUUUAGCAUAAAGGGGAUUGUCAUAUAAAAUUUGCAGCACCACACUUAAAUGAUCAAUAUGUGCCUCCAUGAAAGGACUGGACACCAAUAUAUCAUCGAAGAAGACGAGCACAAAGCGCACUAAAUAGGGCUGGAAUAUGUUGUUCAUUAGAGAUUGAAAGGUUGCAAGGGCAUUAGCGAGGCCAAAGGGCAUUAUUAGAAAUUCUAGUGCCCCACAUGAGUUUUGAAAGCCGUUUGUGAACAUCAUCUGAAUGCAUUAGAAUUUGCUGAUAGCCUACUCGCAAAUUAAGAUCCAAAAGCACUACUACUCCUUGCAAUUCAUUCAACAAAUCCUCAAUAAGCGGAAUUGAAAAUUUAUCCUUGAUUGUUGCAUCGUUGAGUUGGCAAAAAUCAAUACAGAAUUCUCCAAUUGCCAUCUUUCUUCUUGACUAGCAAAAUUAGGAGUGAUAAUGGACUAUUGCUUGGCCUAAUAAUACCAGUAACUAGCAUCUCUUGUAUUUGUUUUUCAACUUCAUUUUUUUACUGAUAAUUGUGUUGGAAGGGCCUAAUAUUAAUGGGGUCUGUGUGUGGCUUGAGAGGAAUUCUAUGAUUAUGGGAUCGAGGAGGCAAGGACAUGGAUGCUUUGAAUAUCUCCCGGCAUAGCUGCUUUUUACUCAAUGGAAAGCCUACUGCCGGUAUAAAUAGCUUACAGGAUAUGCCCUUCCAACCAUUCUUCACCAAUUUAUGAAUGGAUCGCACUAAUUAAUCGCAAAAGUUCCUUGCUUAGUUAACCUUUAAGAAUAGGCUAUUGAGAAUCUCGGAAAAUGGUGAAGGUGUUUUUGUUGAAAUCGAAUGUGACAAGGGUGUGCUUUUUCAUUCCGUCAACCCUUAAAAUUAUGCCAUAGUCUCCCAUGGACUGACUCUGCAUAACCCAAUUAGCUUGAGGUAGUUUGCUAUACACAUCAUUACAAAAGGCACAAAGACUACUGGAAGCUUCAAAUCCUUCACAAGUUUUGAAUCUAAGUGUGGGUACUCCCACUAUCAAUUAAGAUCAUCACCAGCUUUCCCUUCAAAUGCCCCUUCACUUUCAGUGUAUUAUCAUUAAUGCUCCCACUUAUAGCAUUCAUUGAUAAUAAAGGGGCGAUAUCAUCCUCUUUCAUUUCAUGCUCUUCCCCCAUCCAUGCAACCCAGUCGAGCUUCCUCCCCUUCCAACUCAAUCUCAUCCUCCGCCUGGUAGUGCAUCAAUACCCAGGAAAAUAAUGAUCCCCACAUCUAAAGCAGCUAUUAGAAUUUCGUCGAACAUUGGAAGUAUUUUGAGAAAUAGGUGGAAGAGCAAGUAGGGCUGGUUUACGUUGAACGACGGGUGGGUUCUGAGUAGUGUAACUGGACUUUGGAUUAUAAGAGGAGAUAGGUUUUGGAGAUAGAAUGGGUUUAUUUGUGUGUAUUUGCAAGGGUAAGUUAAGUUGUGUUUUGGGGCCAAUAUUGUAAGUGGAUUUGGAUUGGAAGGAGUUAAGCCUCGGUUGAUAGCUAUUGGUCUGCUGGGCCUGUAACAACAAUUACUGCAAUUUGGCUUAGUGUGAAGGACGGUCAAAUUCUCACUGCUACAUCAUUCCUCAAACCGCCAAUAAAGUUGCUGAUAAAAUAUACCUCCGUAAACGAGGAUUAAGCUGCUCCAUCUGACACUUAAUCCUCUCGAAUUCGCUCUGGUAUUCAGCCAUUGUUCCAUUCUGUCGGAGCUCUUUAAAUGCAAUCACUACAUCUUCCACCACUCUCUUUUAGAAUUCAUCCUAGUAAACCAAUAUUCUACUUGUUUAAUCAAGUAUAAACUUGCCAAAUCCACCUUCUGAUCAUUAAGAACUUCAUAAAUCUCAAAAUAUUUACCACAUUUCCAGAGCCAAUCUUGCCCUCCAAGCACCGGCAAAUCCAUUUUGAAUAACAACCUGCUCAAAUAUCCUCAUCUCUACACUUCUAUAUGAGUUGUUUCUCCUACUCCAUGUUCACGAGGUAAUAGCAAGAUUCCCCAAGAUUCAAUAGUGCCCAAAAGAGGAGUAGAGUUUACUUGUACCGUGUCUAUUUUUGUUUCUUUGCCCAUUUCACCCCCUUUCAUCAUCUGUAAUAACCGAUUCAACUGACUAUUGAUUUUGAUUUGUCCAUUCCUCGAAUAAUCAUGUAGACGUUGUUGCUCAGCACAGACCUAUUCGUGAAGGCAAUGUUGUUCCUUCUGGAAUGUCUCAAACCGAGCAUUAUAAUCAGAGUUCAUUGUCUCCACCCUUUAACUGAGUGCCAAUAUUUGUUCUUCCAUUGAAAUCGCUUUUGUUUCUGCUAUUGAUGGUGUUUGGUUCCGUUUUGUACUUCAGCUCUUCUCCAGCUAUUUAAAAGAAAAAAAUUGUUCCACAGUGUAGUACCGUUGCUCUUUAUACCAGUCUUGCAUACCCAACCAGAAGGAGAAUAGAAACAGAGAAUAGCAUGUUGAAGGUUUAGAGAAAAGAAGAGAAGAAGGGUGAGAGAAAAAGAGAGAGAUAGAGAGGAAGGAGAUAAUGUUUGUAUAUUCUCAUUCUGUUUCUGUACCUUCCUUCCAUAUAAUAUAUGAGUGAUUUCAUAUCAGAAUGCAAGACAAAAUAGGAAUAUUCUUUAAUUGAAAAUGUUGGACCACUUCCCGCUCAUUCUUCAAAUAACAUUCUUACGGUGGUAUGUGACAUAAUCUUUGUCAUGAAAAAGUGCAUGAGGAGUGAAGUGAACUCAUUACCUCAUUGUCACGGGGAAUUUUGCAGCAACCAAGAUUUUUCACAUGGAAUAAAGAUAAUCUAUUUUACUAACUCCAAGGAUCCAACACGAUUUCUUGAUGUACUCCAAAGAACUGUCAAACGACGACUCUAUUCUAUUGUGAAACUCAUGAAUUAUAGCUUGAUAUGGAAAAAACUUUCUUCAAUCUAGCAGAGGAGUUCCACAGCCAGUCCUCAAAUCAGACUUAUUUAUGGUAUUUCUACUUCUACCAAUCACUCCAAAACCCAGAUUUAUCAUAGCAUAAUUCAGUUGAUUGCAUGUCCAGAUCAAAUAUUUAAUGCCUAUUUCCUUCAGAAAAAUAAAUAACUAUUUUUCAUUUCCUAAAAGAACUUUGAUUUUAAACUUCCAUAAAAAAAAGUAAAAUAUGCACAUUUACCUGUCAAUAAUCGAAAACGGUUAAAAUUCAAAAGAAUUAUAUAAUUAAAAAAAUAUUAUAAAUGUAUUUCGAAACUUAGUUUGCUUUUUUUUAGUAGGGGAAAUGGGGGAAUGGAGAUCAAAUUUUAAAACUUUUUUAAUAUGUGGUAUUCAUUUAUUUUAUAAUAAUAUGAUUAAUAUAUUUAUCGUUGUAAAUGUUUUACUAGAUUACCAAAUUUUAUUUUAAUCUUCUAUUUGAAAAAAAAUGGCACUUGUAUAUACAAAAUUCGAUUUCACUUUUCUUAAAAACUUUUUCUUAAAACCAUCCCGGUUUUACAUGAGUGAACGGAUAGCUAGCUUAGUCCUUUCUUCUCUCUUCUUUUGCUAUAAACAUUAGAAUUGAGUUUCACUUUUUUGUAGCACAACACCUUCACAACCACAGAACUACACCUACACAUAGUGUUGGCACUGCAUUUGGCUGUAUAAAUUUUCUUCUAAAAAUAAUGGAAAACAAACAAGGAAAUUCUUAACUAGUUUAAACCACCUACGUCGAAGUGAUUUGGUGACAAUUGGAAGUAGUGCAUGUGACUUAUCUAAAUCAGCCGUGACCCAUUUUCACAAGUCAAAAAUUAACGAUAAAAAACAGAACUGUAAGAGUGAGAAAUGAAAACUAUCACUCGAACAUAUAUUAUCUAUUAAGAUUUUAACUACUCAUUAAACAAAUUCCAAAAAUAAUGAUGAUGAUGAUUUUAAGAAUAUAUCUUCCUCCGCUUGAUUAAUUAGAAACUCUCUACUUGAUUAACUAGAAACUAACACCUACAUAAUUUAUUAAUAUUGAACAAAUUGAACAUAAAUAAGAACCACUGAAAAUUAAAAUAAAUAAAUAAACUAACCAUCCUGAGGACUGCUAUAAUUAACGUAGCCAUAACCGAGCGAUCGCCGUGUAGUCAAGUCCCUGCAAACCCGAACAGAAACCACUUGACCGACUUGAUUAAACAGAUCGUACAGGUGCGAAUCCGUCACGUUCGCCUCCAGAUCCCCGACAUAAAGGGAAGUAGUCACGAACUGGGGGUUGGCCCCGCCGUUCACACCCUGAGCCUGAACCGGAACUUGAACCUGUGCCAUUUCCUUUUUUUCUCUUGAAAUAUUUCUAUUCGAAUUUUUUUUAUUUUUUUUUUCAAUUUAUCUUCCCUCUCCUCUUUUUAUUCUAAUAAAACAAACACCAAACCCUAACCCUAUCAGUCCACGCUACACCAAACCUAGCUUAAAUAAGAGAACGAGUGAUAGAAGCGCACACCAAUUAUUCGAUAAAAUGACUAACAGAGAUACUGUGUUUUUCGUUUCAGUCUUUUGAUAUAUUUCUUUUUGUUGUUUUUGGGUUUUUUGAUAGGGGAGGAGAGGGAAGGCGGAGAAGGAAACAGUGAUUUUGGUCGCCGAAAGGACUGGCGGCGCGUGAGGAAGUAACAGAGAGUGGUAAGGAGGGGGCAGAAUAGGAUACUGCUCUGAAAACGGAAGAGGGUGUUCGGAGGUCGAGAGAGAACGAUAUAAAGGAAAGAAGAGGGUUUGGGUAUAGAGAAAACCCUAGGAUGAUGACAACGAGAGAUAUCCACCGUUGGAUUUGUUGGGUGUAUGGGGCCCAGAUGACGUUGUGAAGAAGCAACUGAGUAACCGUGGAUGGGAUAUUUAGGAAAGGAGAGAGCGGUUAAGAACACGCGCGGUAGGAGCCCGUGUAAUGUAAUAGUGUUUGGUGGGUUAGUUUGAUAAUCAAUUAUGGGAAAAACAACACGUAGGAUUUUGACUGUUGCUUUAACCGCCUAAACAUGGUUAAGAGAUUUUAAUAGGAAAAGAUUCUCAUUUUCCAAUUCUAGAGAUUCUCCCUAUAAGAGAAUUCUACACCAUGCCGAAAACACACAAUCUAUUCUUUUUCACUCCCAACAAUAAAAAUUCAAAAUUCACAAAAUUUUUAUAUUUUAUUUUUAAUUUUUUAAUAACAUACCAUUUAUUUUGAUAUAGAUUAAUAAAAAAUAUUCAAAUAUAUAAAUAUAAUUUACUGUAAAUGAUGCGACAUGAUAAUCGCUUAAAUAAGUUAUAAGCGAUAACUAUAAGAUAGGGUCACGUGGAGAGAGUCUGAUUCAUAAAAAAGAAAACUCGGACACUGUAGUGUUUCAUUCUUUUAAGACUCGCCCUCUCUUGAGUAGAACGAUACUUCACAAAAGGUUACCGGUAACGGAUACAAUCCAACAAAUCCUCAUUGCAUCUAUAAUUGCAAAAUCCUUAUCCAAUUAGCCGGUGCUAGCCGGAUUUUCCAGAAGAUUUGAUAACCAACUCCAUUUUUUUAUAGUAUAAAAGUUAAUGUACAUAGAGAUCAAAAUACGCAUUAUUACUCAUUCAUUCUUAGUUCUAAGCAAUUCAUUAUAUUCGCUCAUUCUAUUAAUUAACUGACUUGAACUUCGAAGUGGCUGCCCAUAGGUACCAACCACCUUACAUCUUCUCUUUUGCAGAUUGAUCAAUUGCAGUUUAGUUCUAUUUUCAGCCACAUCAUUUGGUUCCAUUGUUGAAAAAUCCAUUAAAUUCUCCAUGUUCAUUUGGAUUAAAACCGGUCUUCUAUUUCACUUUCUCUUAAAAAAGGCACCUUUCUUUUCUUCCAUUCUCUAAAUGACUAACAAUUCACAAUCUAUUACUAAGGCUGCUACCAACAAAGGGGCCAUAAUUUCUUUCACUCUUGAAAGUGAACAAAACACACUCUCUAUGAUCAAUGAUGUAAUACCCGGCUAAAUUUCGACAUCGGAAUUUUCACUUUUCGACGGAAUCUCCGUCGGAAUAGAAUCUCGAAGCCGGAAUCUUUACAAGGGCAAAAUAAGGUUUUCAUAAAAUGAAUUUUGGUUUUUAUUGUUUGGAAUUUUGUUAAGGAAAUAAAAGAGUUUUUCAAAGGAUUCCCAGGUUCGACCGCCGAACCUUCAAGUUCAACUGCUGAAGGUGGUUCUCCCAUGCCGUCGUGGGACCUUCCUGUUCGGCCGCCGAAGGUGGUUUCUCCAACCACCUAUAAGGGGCCUUCAGCCCGAAAAUGAGAGAGCUCUCUCUCUAUUUUCGGGCAGACGUAAGUCCAUGCCCUCCCUUUGAUGCUGUUGUUGAAAUUCCUUCAAAUUUCUCAGAAAAUUCAUGAGUUUUCUUUUGUUUUUGAAGAUUUGAGUUUGAACCUAAGUUUUGAACCUUGGAGACCUCCGGAGAUCGAUUUUCUCUCAACUCCAAGUUUGGGUUGCUGCUACCUUUAAAUCUCAAAGAGGUAAGUUUAGAUCUUUACUUUUCCUAUGUUUUAAAUAAGUUUAAGAAGGGUUAAAGGGUUUUUAAGCAGGGAAGAUGUUUAAUAUGAAGUUUUAGGGUUGGGAUAGUUUUUAUGGGGAAUGUCUUCUUUUUAAGUUUUGUUGUUGCAUAAUGGGGAUUAAGUUAGUUUUUGGUGUCCUUUAUGCAUAUAGAGUGCGUAUGGAUGGUUAUGAGUUGUUGUGUGUGAGAAUCGGAGUGUUUGGUGGCUGUGGGCAUAGGGCAAAAUCGGGUUCUGCCUUGCUGGAGAACUCAGAUUCGGUCGCCGAAGCAAGGUUCCACCGUCGAACCUGCAGGUAGAGGCAGCCUUUUGGCCGCCUAAACUGCCCCCGAAAGUAUGGACUUUCGAAUCUGUGAAGGAGUUUAGACCGCCGAACCUGCCCCCGAAAUUUGUUAACUUUCGGAUCUGUGAAGGAUUUUAGGCCACCGAACCUGCCCCCGAAAGUUGCUGACUUUCGGAUCUGUAAGGGACCUUCGGCCGCCGAACCUGCCGCCGAAAGUCCCCUGCUCAGCCUUUACUUGCUUGCUUUAUAAAUAUGUUUUGGUUUUUUUAGGGGAUUUUGGGGAGUUGUUUAGAAUCUGCUAAAAGUUAUGUUUGGUCCCUCAUUUGAGUCCAUUUGUGUAGGAUCGGAUCUGGGAGACCAUAGAGGCCUGCAGUGAGAUAAUUGCGCCAGUUUUAGGCGAGCGUCAGCCAGAGGUGAGUAUAACUGAACUGAACUGUAAUACCCGGCUAGACUCCGGUAUCGGAAUUCCUACCGUCCGGUGGAAUCUCGGAUGUCGGAGACCUCUAGAAGGGUAAAAUCAUGUUUUUAUAAAAUGUUUUAAUGUGUUUGAUGAUUUUAAGUAAGAAGGAAAAUGAGUUUUGGAUGAAAUAGACCUUGGAGGAAGACUCAGGUUCGGCCGCCGAACCUCAAGUUCGGCCGCCGAAUAUGCAUGCGCUUCGGGAGUGCUUUAGGCCCCCGAAGGCAUAAGUGAGGGAAGUCCAAGUUCGGCCGCCGAACAUGGCAUGCAUGCGGAGGCACGUUAGGCCCCCGAAAGUGGCCUGGCCAGCGGUAUAAAGGGGUCCCCAUGUCCGAAUGGGCAAGUUUUUCUCCCCAUUUUCGGCCAAGGUGAGCUAUCCGCCGUCCCCCAUCGAUUUUGAGUCUCUUCCUACAAAUCUUUUAUGAUUUUCAUGAGAUUUUACUUUGUUUUGAAGAUUUUUGAGCAUUUAAGCAAGUUUUGAGGCUUAGAAGACUCAGGAGCUCUUUUCCUUGGUUCUCCAAGUUUAGGUCGUCUCUCUCUCGAUCUUCAAGAGGUAAGAGCCGAUCUUGAACUCAUUUUAUGUUUUAAGUAACUUUUAAGUUGAUCUAUGGGGUAGAAAUGCAUGUUUAGGUUAGUUGAACUUGUUAGGUUUUAUGUGAUUAUAUGGGCAAUGUAUGAUAUUUGUGUAUGUUUGAUGUAUUGUAGUUGGGGUUUAGGAUAGUUUGAGACCCCUAGGUGUUGAUGUAUGUGUAUAUGCAUGCUUUGAAAGAGUUGGUUGCUUGUUUGGAAGGUUUGGGAGGAAAGUGUGCAUUGAAGAGCUGGUUUCUGCCCUUUGGGAGAAACCAGGUUCGGCAGCCGAAAGGAUUUUCGGCCGCCGAACCUGUCUGUGAGGCAAGCCUUUCGGCUGCCAAAGCUGCCCCCGAAAAUGGACUUUCAUCUCUGGAGGGGACUUUCAUCUCUGGAGGGCACUUUCGGCCGCCGAAGGUGCCGCCGAACCUGCAUGACUUUCGGCUCUGAAGGGACUUUUGGCCACCGAACCUGCCGCCGAAAGUGCCCUGUUCAGCCUUCCUUUGCAUGUUUUCUAUGGAUGUUUUGAGGUGUUUUAGGGGGUUUUUGGGGAGUAUUUUAGAGUCAUAUUUAUGUAUGUUAGGUCCCUCAUUUGAGUCCACCUGUAUAGGUUCGGACCCGAGGAACCGAGGACCCCAGCAGUGAGAUAGCUGCUUUCGAGUCUUGUCAGAGCUAGCCAGAGGUGAGUGGAAUAACUUUCUAUGUUUUCAAAGUAAAUAAUGAACGUUUUAGCAUGAUUCACGCAUCAUGAAUGCCAUGAGAUAUAUUAGGGUGCUUGCAUUAGAAUUUCACGAAUAUGUUGCAUUGCAUAUUAUGUUGUUGAUGUGGAUGAAUGUUGAAUGAUCCAUUAGCCCUUAUAUAGUAUGAUAUGACAGACUAUGGAAGUCCGGGUGAGCCUGCACUAUGCCCCCGACAUGAUUGGAUAUGUAUGGUAUGCUAUGGAAGUCCAGGCGAGCCUGCACUACGCCCCUGGCAUCAUUAGACUGUAUAGAGGGCUAAAUGGUGACAAGUUCAUCCUUGAUGUGAAAUGUUUGUGCUGUGAUGCAUUCCAUGAUAUCACAUGUUUUAAAUGCUAUGUUUUAUUAUUAUGCUCACUGGGCUCUAGUAGCUCACCCCUCUCCCUUAAACUCCAGGUUUGCAGGUACAGGGUAGACCAGGAGGUCAGCAAGAGUAAUGAAGUAUUGGUCAUGUAAUAGCUAGUGUGGACAUGAAAAAUGUUGAUAUAUUAUGUUUAGUACAGUUAUGUAAUGUAAUGAUGAUAUUGAGGAUUAGAGAUGUGCUUGACCCUAGCUGUAUGUUAAUCCCCUUUGUUUACAUGAUCUUUUAAAUGUAAUGAUUUUAAUAAAUGUCUAUGUUGAACCAAACUCAAUGUAUGUUAUGUUACCCCAUUGGAGCAUUGUUGAGGACUCCAGUGUGGGUUGAUGAUUAUGACUAUGUAUAGUGCAUGCACAGGUUGAGUUUGGUGAUUGAAUGGAAAGAAAAGUUCAAAAUUUUUAUGUAUGUUGUUGAUCAUGUAUGGGAUUAAACAGGUUCACAGGAUGAAUGUUUGGCUUGCUACGCGUCCCGGCGGCCUUAAGCCGAUCUGGAUCCUAGCGCUGGUAGCGGACCGAUUUUCGGGUCGUUACAUGAACUAUCGUUUCAAAGUAAUCAAACUUUUUAAGCAUGCUCAUGCAUCACGAAUGCCAUGUUUAUAUAUUAGGUUGUUUGCAUUAGAAUUCAUGAAUAUGAUGCAUUGCAUAAUUUACUGUUGUUGUGGAUGGAUGUUGGAUAACCCAUUAACCCUCUAGUAUGAUAUGUUAUGACGGAUACGGAAAGACCAGGGUUUGUCCAUUCUACGCCCCUGGCACUAUGGAUAUGUUAUGUUAUGUUUAAGAGGAAGUCCUGAGGAGCUCCCAUUGAGGGCCGGGCACUAUUAGAAUAUGUAAAGGGUUACUGGUGACAAAUCCAUUUUUAUGUGAAUUGUUUGUGUUGUGACGCAUUUCAUUUGAUCAUAUGUUUAUUAAAUUAUUUUUAUGUUCUGCUCACUAGGCUCUUGUAGCUUAUCCCUUCCCCCUAACCCCAGGUUUGUAGGGUCAGAGUUAGCUCAGGGAAGUCAGCUGAGUUACUGGUAUAGCUUUUUGUAAUAGUAUAGAUGUGGACAUGUAUUAUUGUAUGGUUUUAGAAGUGUGUCUUACCUUAGUUGUUGUCCUUGUAAUCCCAAUUUACAUGAUUGUUAUGUAAAAAUUUUAGUGAUGAGUUAUGUUCAAACUAAGCUCUAGGCAUGUGAUGUUUACCAUACUAGAGCAUUUGAUGAGGGCUCUAGCAUGGGGUUUUAUGAUUUCAGUUUUGAUACAUGUACAGGUCGAGCAUUGGUUCAUGAAAUGUUUAGGUUUUAGUUUUUGCGUGAUCAUGUAUGGGAUUUUAUCAAGUACACAAGAUGUAUAGUAGGCUUGCUAUGGGCUCCGGCGAUCUUAAGUCGAUCUGAACCUUAGCGCCGGUAACGGUCCGGUUUCCGGGUCGUUACAGAGUGGUAUCAGAACCCUAGGUUCAUAUGGUCGGACCUAAAGUGUUGGGCUCAUAGAUGUUAUAGAAGGGCAAGCACAUUAGGAAAAAUCAUGUCCACUAGGAUAAGAUGUAGAAUCCUAUCUUGAUGAAGGUAUGAUGAUAUGUAAUGUCAUGAUUGUAUGCAUGUGCAUUGAUGAUAUGUUAUGUAUAUGAUGUGGGUUCAUGUGUAUCCACGUGAACCGUAUAAUGCUAAUGUUUAUAUGUUAAAUGUUAUUAUCAGAAGACAGGAUGCGAGGCUCACAUCGAUCUACACAGUUGACUGGAGUUCCACAUGAAAAUGGUGGUAUGGAUGUCUUUCCUCCUAUUGCUCCGUCAAGAGCACGGUCAAGUAGGACUAGCAAAGAUGAAAUGUCAAGGGACCCUAGAAGGUCCUUUGAUGUGAACAGAAGAAGAACAGAUCCAGGAAGGAUGUGAUUGUGCGGUUGUCGAAGCCGGUCAAAAAUAACCUUUUCAGUUAUCAACAAUUUUAUAACUGCAGAUAGUGGUGAAAGGAUCGAAUCCACAGGAAAUUGAUUGUAACGACCCAAAAAUUGGACCACUACCGGCGCUAGGAUUCGGGUCGACUUAAGGCCGCCGGGACCCGUAGCAAGCCUAACAUGCAUCCUGUGAACCUGCUUAAUCCCAUACAUGAUCGACAACAUCCAUAAAAAAAAAUUAAAACUUUUCUUUCCAUUCAUACGCCAACUCAACCUGUGCAUGCACUAUAACAUAAUCAUAACAUUGAUCCCUCAGUGGGAUCUCAUCAGUGCCCCCAAUGGGUGACAUAACAUAUGCUGAGUUGGUUUACAUAAACAUCAUAAAAAUCUCUACGAUCAUGUAAUUAAAAAGGGAUAACAAGAUCUAUGGUCAAGCACACUCUAACAUCCAUAAACAUCAUCUCAUUACAUAUCUAUACUGAUUGAGACAUUACAUUACGAUUUGAUCAUGUCCAUUGCAAGCUAUUACAUAAGCAUGACUUCUUUACUCUAUCCGGACUCCCGCACUAUACUGUACCUGCAAGCCUGGGGGAAAAGGGAGAGGGGUGAGCUAAA